UUAAACGGGAGCACUUUUUUG
rnacentral:piRNA from 1 species